UUUUUUUUAUAUAUAUAUUUUUUUUGAUAUUUUUUUUUAUUUUUCAUUGUCUUUUUUUCAAUAUAAUUUGGGAUAUUAGACUAGGACACAAUUUGACGCUCAGGGGUCGAUCAGAGCAUUUAGACGAGACAGGUGGACCUCGGAUAGGCAUAGGGCUUAACACGAAAGGAAAAAAAACAUAGGUUAUAAACUUAAUCUAAUACAUAAAAUAUGUUUGUACAAAAUUUGAUAAACAUUGAAA
rnacentral:lncRNA from 1 species